CCAAUCGAAGACAAACUGAGUUCAUUGGACUUUGAUUGCCAUAGUUCAAUAGUAUUCACGAACGAAGAUUCAUGAUAACCAUAGAAAGAAAAGCUUAGCUUUUAGAAAGGAGUGGGCUACUGCCCUGCUCUAAAAUUGAGGAAAAUGACUUGGCAACAACACUUCCGUCGUGCAUCUGGAUUCAGAGAACUGCAGCGAAUGGAGGACCUUUCCCGCUUCUUGGUUCCAGAAUUACGAGCUGUCCUUCUGAGACUUUUCCUGAGGUUGGAUUUUUAUGCUUCCACUGGAGGUGUGGUGAUGGCUUGAGCUUCUUCGAACCUUUUGAGGAGGGCGGAGCGAUGCUUUGAUGCCUUAGGAUCGGUCGUCAGCUCCGACAAGUUUCGGAGGAGGCUUGCGGGCAUAAUCUAGGUUGCCCAUGCUUGGACCGUGAAUCAAUUGGCCCAUGCUUGAACCGUGAAUCGGAGCUUGUUGUGAAUCCUUCAGUUUUUGUACUCUUCCCUUGCAUUCAUCAACCUCUUAGUAAAUCUAGUCAACAAUAACACGAAUUCCUAAAUACGAUUUCAACUGCUUUCAAAAUAGUAUUGGAAAUAAAGAUAAAAACCAAGAAUCGAAAUGCAUAUCAACAUCCUAAUAAAGGAUUCUUCCCUGAAAUAAUUUGGGCAUUUCGGGUAAGGCCGAAUCUAGAGCUCCUUGUCCGUGAAUGCGGACAAAAACUCGAUCUGAGUUCAAACGGCUGGACCUAGGUCCAGAUUUUCCUAAUGGCCGGAAUCUGGCGACAAACGCGACGGUAGCGGGCAGUGCGCCGCCCGAGAAGCGAGAUCCCUGUGUGGGGCUCCUGCGUGGCGGCGGUGCGAGGCCUUCUGAUUCAGACUGCGGCGGAGGCGUUUCCAAGCGGAGCGGCACCGGCAUUGAGGCGAUGAUACCGCUGGAGAUUCCAGGACAACCGUGGUGUAGUUAAAUGAAGAGGAUGGCUAUUGUGUUAUCACUUUUUU
rnacentral:lncRNA from 1 species